GUGCACGUCGAGGCUUUUAGGGUUUUCUUUCUGGCCAUUUUGCUAGGCGGUCUUCGGCUAUCGUCUCGUCUCUGGAUUAGGGUUUCUUUACUCUUUUCAAUAUACUUUUGCGUUCUUCCUUAGAGGGUUUUCCUUGAGAGUAGAAAUCGAGGUCAUGGCGGGGGGAAAUUUCAUGCACAGAGAUAUCUCUUACGUCGUUAAUGAGUUGCUCGUCGACAGUCUAGCGAACAGGUGCCGUCUUUUUUUUUUCAAUUUCCAAGGUUUUUAUUCUCUAUUUUAAGCUUCUUUAUCUGGUCGGCGCGAUUAAUCUGUUCCCGCCCGAUUCGUUCCCUUGAAGCGAUAUGAAACUCAAAUUUUCAAUUUGUGAUAUCUUGUCCUGCUGUGUCAUAUCAAUGGCGCUGCAAUCUAUGAAAUUUGAGAUAUUGUUUAUAGGAAAAUUUACUAUGUUUCUUCCUUUUUCAUAAGAACUUGCUUCAUUAUCUGGUCAUUGGGAUCUCUAUUCCCAUUUGGCUCGUUCCCUUGAAGCGACAAGGAGUUGUUGUUCAUUAAGCAAUUUGCUUUUCUCCUUUGCACCAUUGUUGAUUUGGGGAACACUGGAGCAACUACAUCCUCUCUUCUCUUAUUUAUUUUUUCUACGGAUAUUUCGUUUCCGAUUUUAGUGUUUUUCGAGCAACAAUGACGAGUAUACAGACCUGUAAUGAUUUGCGAAUAUGAUCGCAACUCUAAGAACAUCUAAGGGACUGAGUUGUUCGACAUUUGUUUCUUGUUUGAACGUGCCCUUAUUUUCGCUGUUUUUUUAUUGUCUAAAUUUCUGAACAUAGUCCAUGAUGACUCCAUAGACCUGUACUGAAAUGCGGACAUGACCGCAACCUCUGAACAUCUAAGGGGCUGAGGCACUUCCUUUUAUUUUCUUCCCUUCCCAAAAGUAGAAAUUUUACCGAUAUGCAAUUUAAUUUUUGGAAUCAUAGCUUCACUUUCUUGAGCUACUCAAGAUAGUCUACUUGAUACUUUGAGCCUUUAGUGGAACUAUUUAAGUGAAGCCAGAAAGAUGUUCCUCUCGCUAUCCAGUGGGACGAUUGUAUUUCAUUUGGACGUUGGGGAACGAUAUUUGACUUCUACUUGCAUUCCUGAAUGUUAAAACUUAAUUUAAAAUUCAUAGUUCGAUUAAACGCAUUUAGGUUUUCACUCUUGAUGUUUYUUUGGGUGGUCUUGCUUGAUUCUUACCCCUGCAUUCCAGAGGUUUGCUGUCAAUCUGAGGACAUCCAAGAGAAUGGAGGACAUUCCGUUAACGAAUAUGUACUUUUUCUGGUUCUCUAUUGAAUUCCAUUAGCCUUUAAUAGUGUUAACUGUUAACAAUCAUGCUUGAUCGAUUCAUCUCUAUGUUGUGUUUAGUGAAAUGGGAGUGCCAUGUUUGUAUGCUUAAAAGAGCAGUUACAGGAUUUGUCAAAGAAUCUUGAGGUGAUGAUUAUCUGCUUAUAAUUUGUUCUCUAAGUAGUGGUGUAUCUGGGAAAUGCUGUUAACAGGUUAAUCUUAAUGGUUUUGCAGUCUAAGAAAAACCA